rnacentral:rRNA from 1 species
UACGUAGGAUGCGAGCGUUGUCCGGAAUCACUGGGUGUAAAGGGAGCGCAGGCGGUUCGGCAAGUCAUUGGUGAAAUUCUCAGGCUUAACCUGGGGGCUGCCAAUGAUACUGCUGAUCUUGAGUGUGGAAGAGGUAGAUGGAAUUCCUGGUGUAGCGGUGAAAUGCGUAGAUAUCAGGAAGAACACCGAUGGCGAAGGCAGUCUACUGGUCCAUUACUGACGCUCAUGCUCGAAAGCGUGGGGAUCAAACAGG